rnacentral:rRNA from 1 species
ACAGUCACACAUUAGAUACCCCGGUAGUCCCAGCCGUAAACUAUGCUCGCUAGGUGUCAGGCAUGGCGCGACCGUGUCUGGUGCCGCAGGGAAGCCGUGAAGCGAGCCACCUGGGAAGUACGGUCGCAAGGCUGAAACUUAAAGGAAUUGGCGGGGGAGCACAACAACGGGUGGAGCCUGCGGUUUAAUUGGACUCAACGCCGGACAACUCACCGGGGACGACAGCAAUAUGUAGGCCAGGCUGAAGACCUUGCCUGAAUCGCUG